rnacentral:rRNA from 1 species
CCCUUAGAUGUUCUGGGCCGCACGCGUGCUACACUGAGUGGAUCAGCGGGUCAGGUUACGCGAGAGCGUUUCCUAAUCUUCAAAUCCGCUCGUGAUGGGGAUUGACGGUUGCAAUUUUCCGUCAUGAACGAGGAAUACCUUGUAAGCGCGGGUCAUCAUCCCGCGCUGAAUACGUCCCUGCCCUUUGUACACACCGCCCGUCGCUCCUACCGAUUGAGUGGUCCGGUGAGGCUUUGGGAUCUAAGCGAAAAGAGCGUUUCGCUCCUUUUGCUGGGAGAACUCAGUCGAACCUUAUCAUUUAGAGGAAGGAGAAGGCGGAACA